rnacentral:rRNA from 1 species
CACCACAGUCAUAUCACCCUGCAUCCCAAGACUGGUUGCCCACUGAAGCUAAGCAGGGCUGAGCCUGGUUAGUACCUGAAUGGGAGACCUCCUGGGAAAUCUAGGUUGCUGUUGGAA